rfam:Methylophilaceae bacterium 11 Meth11DRAFT_Scaffold1.1_C, whole genome shotgun sequence.
AAAGCUAGCUAGACAGUCGCCGCUUACGCAAGUGAGGGGAGGAAAGUCCGGGCUGCACAGAGCAAGAUGACGGCUAACGGCCGUACGCCGUGAGGCGAGGAAUAGGGCCACAGAGACGAGCAUAUUCAGUUAUGGUGAAACGCGGUAACCUCCAUCUGCAGCAAGACCAAAUAGGCUGGUGCAUUCACCUCGGUGAAUAAGGCGUGGCUCGCGUUACCAGCGGGUAGGUUGCUUGAGUGUACAAGUAAUUGUAUGCCUAGAUGAAUGACUGUUACGCACAGCAAUGUGCGACAGAACCCGGCUUAUCGGCUAGCUUUUUUC